rnacentral:rRNA from 1 species
UACGUAGGGUGCGAGCGUUAAUCGGAAUUACUGGGCGUAAAGCGUGCGCAGGCGGUUUUGUAAGACAGGUGUGAAAUCCCCGGGCUUAACCUGGGAACUGCAUCUGUGACUGCAAGGCUAGAGUGUAGCAGAGGGGGGUAGAAUUCCACGUGUAGCAGUGAAAUGCGUAGAUAUGUGGAGGAACACCAAUGGCGAAGGCAGCCCCCUGGGAUAACACUGACGCUCAUGUACGAAAGCGUGGGUAGCAAACAGG